rnacentral:rRNA from 1 species
ACGUAUGGGGCAAGCGUUAUCCGGAUUUACUGGGUGUAAAGGGAGCGUAGGCGGUACGGCAAGUCAGAAGUGAAAGCCUGGGGCUCAACCCCGGAAUUGCUUUUGAAACUGUCGAACUAGAGUGUCGGAGGGGUAAGCGGAAUUCCUAGUGUAGCGGUGAAAUGCGUAGAUAUUAGGAGGAACACCGGUGGCGAAGGCGGCUUACUGGACGACCACUGACGCUGAGGCUCGAAAGCGUGGGGAGCAAACAG